GCCAAAAUAGCUCAGUUGGGAGAGUGUUAGACCGAAGAUCUAAACGUCCCUGGUUAAAUCCCAGGUUUUGGCA